GAUGAACGCUGGCGGCGUGCCUAAUACAUGCAAGUCGAGCGAACGGACGAGAAGCUUGCUUCUCUGAUGUUAGCGGCGGACGGGUGAGUAACACGUGGAUAACCUACCUAUAAGACUGGGAUAACUUCGGGAAACCGGAGCUAAUACCGGAUGAUAUUUUGAACCGCAUGGUUCAAAAGUGAAAGACGGUCUUGCUGUCACUUAUAGAUGGAUCCGCGCUGCAUUAGCUAGUUGGUAAGGUAACGGCUUACCAAGGCAACGAUGCAUAGCCGACCUGAGAGGGUGAUCGGCCACACUGGAGCUGAGACACGGUCCAGACUCCUACGGGAGGCAGCAGUAGGGAAUCUUCCGCAAUGGGCGAAAGCCUGACGGAGCAACGCCGCGUGAGUGAUGAAGGUCUUCGGAUCGUAAAACUCUGUUAUUAGGGAAGAACAUAUGUGUAAGUAACUGUGCACAUCUUGACGGUACCUAAUCAGAAAGCCACGGCUAACUACGU
rnacentral:rRNA from 1 species